AUAUUCUAUUAAGAGAUAGUUAAAGAUAAUAAAUUGAUAUUGUUGAGUUAAUUGUUGUUGUUGAAGAACUUUCAAGACUAAGAAGAAGUUAUUCCAAAUACGAGAAAGCCUCCUUGGCCAGCGCGUGUCGCCGUGUCUGGUCAGGGAGGGCAACGAGGUAAACGAUGAAGAUGCAGACACACAUUUUUGUUCGUUCUCGCCCGCGAACGUAACAACAGCAGC